rfam:Jannaschia sp. CCS1, complete genome.
GGGUCCGCAGUUCACCCUGUCGUCGCCGAUGCGAUUCAUGCAUCACGCUAAACCUGCCU